UGCGGCGUAACUCCGGUUGAUCCUGCCGGACCCGACUGCUAUCGGGGUGGGGCUAAGCCAUGCAAGUCUCGGGGCCGAGGCAAUGGUCGGUCCCGGCGCACGGCUGAGUAACACGUGGCUAACCUACCCUCGGGAGGGGGAUAACCCCGGGAAACUGGGGCUAAUACCCCAUAGGCGCAGACACCUGGAAUGGGUCUGCGCCGAAAAGGUUGCGGCGCCAUGCUCGCCGCAAUCGCCCGAGGAUGGGGCUGCGCCCUAUCAGGUAGUUGGCGGGGUAAAGGCCCGCCAAGCCGAUAACGGGUAGGGGCCGUGAGAGCGGGAGCCCCCAGAUGGGCACUGAGACAAGGGCCCAGGCUCUACGG
rnacentral:rRNA from 1 species